UAAAUUUAUUAUGGUCAAGCUACUAAGGGCGUACGGUGAAUGCCUUGGCGUCAGGAGGCGAUGAAGGACGUGGAAGUCUGCGAUAAGCCUCGGGGAGCCGGCAAACAGGCUUUGAUCCGGGGAUUUCCGAAUGGGGUAACCUGUUCCGAUGAACUCGGGACAUCAUUAGCUGAAUUCAUAGGCUAAUGAAGCUAACGAGGGGAAGUGAUACAUCUCAGUACCCUCAGGAAGAGAAAUCAAUUGAGAUUCCCCGAGUAGUGGCGAGCGAAACGGGAACAGCCUAAACCUCUUUGCUUGCAAAGGGGGGUUGCGGGACCUCAAUGUGGGAGGUGGAGAGAUAAUAGAAAGGUCUGGAAAGACCUGCCAUAGAGGGUGAUAGCCCCGUAUAUGAAAUUUCAAGACACCCUAGAGGUAUCCCAAGUACCACAGGACACGUGAAAUCCUGUGGGAAGCUGGGUAGACCAUUAUCCAAGGCUAAAUACUACCUGACGACCGAUAGUGCACUAGUACCGUGAGGGAAAGGCGAAAAGAACCCCGAGAGGGGAGUGAAAUAGAACCUGAAACCGUAUGCCUACAAACAGUUCGAGGGCUAUGCCCCGCAAGGGGAAUGCCUGAGAGCGUGCCUUUUGCAUAAUGACUCAGCGAGUUACUGUGCGUGGCAAGGUUAAGCCGAUAGAGGUGGAGCCGUAGCGAAAGCGAGUCUUAAAAGGGCGAUAAGUCGCGCAUAGUAGACCCGAAGCCAGGCGAUCUACCCAUGGCCAGGAUGAAAGGUCGGUAACACGACCUGGAGGUCCGAACGGGUGUUUGUUGCAAAAAGCUCCGAUGAGCUGUGGGUUGGAGUGAAAGGCUAAACAAGACUGGUGAUAGCUGGUUCUUCCCGAAAUAUAUUUAGGUAUAGCCUCGUGAAAUUAAUUGCCGGGGGUAGAGCACUGAAUGGGCUAGGGCCCUUACCGGGGUACCAAACCCAAUCAAACUCCGAAUACCGGUUAAUUUUAUCACGGGAGUCAGUCCGUAGGGGAUAAGCUCUAUGGUCGAGAGGGGAACAACCCAGACCGCCAGCUAAGGUCCCUAAAUGCAGGCUAAGUGGGAAAGGAUGUGGAACUACUUAGACACCCAGGAGGUUGGCUUAGAAGCAGCCAUCCUUUAAAGAAAGCGUAACAGCUCACUGGUUUAGUGGGUCUGCGCCGAAAAUGUACCGGGGCUUAAGCCUGCUACCGAAGCUGCGGAUUGGUUUAUUCUUCGGAAUAAAUCAGUGGUAGGGAAGCUUUCCAGUAACCUGCGAAGGUGGACCGUAAGGACCACUGGAGGAACUGGAAGUGCUUAUGCUGAGAUAAGUAGCGCACAAUGCGGGUGUAAAACCCGCACGCCGUAAACCUAAGGUUUCCUGGGGAAGGUUAAUCCGCCCAGGGUUAGUCGGGACCUAAGCCGAGGCUGAAAAGCGUAGGUGAUGGAAAACGGAUUAAUAUUUCCGUACCACCUAAUUAGCGUCUGAGCGAAGGGGGGACGGAGGAGGGUAGGUCAUCCGGGUGACGGUUGUCCCGGUUCAAGCCAAGAGGCGGGGAAGGUAGGCAAAUCCGCCUUCCCAUUCAACGCUGAUGGGUUAUGAGGAGGAAAGCCGUAAGGCAGACCGAACUGACUAAGCCCACACUUCCGAGAAAAGCCUCGUAGCGAGCUAAUUAGGCGCCCGUACUGCAAACCGACUCUGGUAGGUAGGUAGAGAAUACCAAGGCGCUCGAGAGAACCCUGGUUAAGGAACUUAGCAAUCUAGCCCCGUAACUUCGGGACAAGGGGUGCCUCUGUAGGGUUUAUAGCCCGAAGAGGUCGCAGAGAAAUGGGGGUUGCGACUGUUUAACAAAAACACAGGACUCUGCUAACACGAAAGUGGAUGUAUAGGGUCUGACGCCUGCCCGGUGCCGGAAGGUUAAGGAGAUUUGUCAUCCUGAGCAAUCGGGAAAAGCAGAGAACCGAAGCCCCGGUAAACGGCGGCCGUAACUAUAACGGUCCUAAGGUAGCGAAAUUCCUUGUCGGGUAAACGGAUACUUGCCCGAAUAUUAGCGUAAGCUGAUAUCAGUAAACCGACUCGUAAUGACGAAAAUCCAAUAUGAUUGGACAACGCCAUGGGAACCCCGCACAUGCGGGGACCUUUAACGACUGAACCGAAAGGUGAGAUUUCAUCAAUUGAACUGAUGGAAUAAUACGUCGGCUCCUGCAUCAAGGAGACAGGUCAUGGAGAUGGCAUCUUAUAUUACCGGAUUUGUGGAUGGUGAGGGAUGUUUCUCAGUAUCAUUUUCAAAGCGGGAAAAGAUGAAAUUGGGUAUUGAGAUUCGUCCGAGCUUUUCCGUAAGUCAGCAUCGGCGCAAUAAAGAAAUUAUCCUAUAUCUGCAAAAGUUUUUUCAGUGCGGUGGAGUGCGAUAUUCCAGGCGGGAUCAAAACUUCAAAUAUGAAGUCAGGUCAAUUGCCGAUAUAGUAAAAAAGAUUAUCCCUCACUUUGAAAAAUACGAGUUGCAGACGAGCAAAAAGGAUGAUUUUAAUGCGUUUAAAGAAAUAUGCCGGUUGAUUCACGCCAAUCAACAUCUCAAUAAAACAGGAAUGAUGAGGAUCAUUGAAUUGAGCGAACAAGUCAAUAAAACCGGCAAUAAGCGGUAUGACAGAAAAACUCUCCUAAAAUUUGUCGCAGGAUGAAGGCAUAGUCUGAACAUUAUGGCAACAUAAUGCUAACACCAAUGAAGUUCCGACCUGCAUGAAUGGCGUAACGAUAGCCCCGCUGUCUCAACCAGGGACUCGGCGAAUUUGAAAUGCCAGUGAAGAUGCUGGCUACCCGCAUCAAGACGGAAAGACCCCGUGCACCUUUACUAUACCCUGGUAUUGGAUUUUGGAACAAUCUGUGUAGGAUAGGUGGGAGACUUUGAAGCCGGGCCGCUAGGUUCGGUGGAGUCGUCGUUGAAAUACCACCCUGAUUAUUCUGACGUUCUAACCUUGGCCCGUAAUCCGGGUCGGGGACAGUGCCAGGCGGGUAGUUUGACUGGGGCGGUCGCCUCCCAAAGUGUAACGGAGGCGCACGAAGGUUCCCUCAGGCUGAUUGGAAACCAGCCGGCGAGUGUAAAGGCAUAAGGGAGCUUAACUGCGAGACCUACAAGUCAAGCAGAUGCGAAAGCAGGUCUUAGUGAUCCGGUGGUUCUGUAUGGAAGGGCCAUCGCUCAACGAAUAAAAGGUACGCCGGGGAUAACAGGCUGAUCUGGUCCAAGAGUUCAUAUCGACGACCAGGUUUGGCACCUCGAUGUCGGCUCAUCGCAUCCUGGGGCUGAAGCAGGUCCCAAGGGUCCGGCUGUUCGCCGGUUAAUAGCGGUACGUGAGCUGGGUUCAGAACGUCGUGAGACAGUUCGGUCCCUAUCUGAUGUGGGCGCAGGAUAUUUGAAGGAAGCUGUCCCUAGUACGAGAGGACCGGGAUGGCGGCACCUCCGGUGUUCCAGUUGUCCUGCCAAGGGCAACGCUGGGUAGCUGUGUGCCGAAGGGAUAACCGCUGAAAGCAUCUAAGUGGGAAGCCCCUCCUAAGAUAAGAUAUCCCGGGCCGCAAGGUCCCUAAAGGUCACUUGGAGACUACGAGUUUGAUAGGCCGGAUGUGUAAGUCCAGUAAUGGAUUGAGCUUACCGGUACUAAUUGACCGUGCGGCUUGACCAUA
rnacentral:rRNA from 2 species